AUGACAGGGAGCUUGCUCCUUGAUUCAGCGGCGGACGGGUGAUGUAAUGCCUAGGAAUCUGCCUGGUAGUGGGGGACAACGUUUCGAAAGGAACGCUAAUACCGCAUACGUCCUACGGGAGAAAGCAGGGGACCUUCGGGCCUUGCGCUAUCAGAUGAGCCUAGGUCGGAUUAGCUAGUAGGUGAGGUAAUGGCUCACCUAGGCGACGAUCCGUAACUGGUCUGAGAGGAUGAUCAGUCACACUGGAACUGAGACACGGUCCAGACUCCUACGGGAGGCAGCAGUGGGGAAUAUUGGACAAUGGGCGAAAGCCUGAUCCAGCCAUGCCGCGUGUGUGAAGAAGGUCUUCGGAUUGUAACGCACUUUAAGUUGGGAGGAAGGGUUGUACGCUAAUACCGUGCAAUUUUGACGUUACCGACAGAAUAAGCACCGGCUAACUCUGUGCCAGCAGCCCGCGGUAAUACAGAGGGUGCAAGCGUUAAUCGGAAUUACUGGGCGUAAAGCGCGCGUAGGUGGUUCGUUUAAGUUGGAUGUGAAAGCCCCCGGGCUCAACCUGGGAACUGCAUCCAAAACUGGCGAGCUAAGAGUAUGGUAGAGGGGUGGUGGAAUUUCCUGUGUAGCG
rnacentral:rRNA from 1 species